rnacentral:rRNA from 1 species
GAUGAACGCUGGCGGUGUGCCUAAUACAUGCAAGUCGAGCGAACAGACGAGGAGCUUGCUCCUCUGACGGUAGCGGCUGACGGGUGAGUAACACGUGGAUAACCUACCUAUAAGACUGGGAUAACUUCGGGAAACCGGAGCUAAUACCGGAUAAUAUAUUGAACUGCAUGGUGCAAUAGUGAAAGACGGUUUUGCUGUCACUUAUAGAUGGAUCCGCGCCGCAUUAGCUAGUUGGUAAGGUAACGGCUUACCAAGGCAACGAUGCGUAGCCGACAUGAGAGUGUGAUCGGCCACACUGGAACUGAGACCCGGUCCAGACUCCUACGGGAGGCAGCAAUAGGGAAUCUUCCGCAAUUGGCGAAAACCUGACGGAGCAACGCCGCUUGAGUGAUGAAGGUCUUCGGUUCGUAAAACUCUGUUAUUAGGGAAGAACAAAUGUGUAAGUAACUAUGCACGUCUUGACGGUACCUAAUCAGAUAGCCACGGCUAACUACGUG